rnacentral:rRNA from 1 species
CGGAGGAAGGUGGGGAUGACGUCAAGUCCUCAUGGCCCUUAUACGGUGGGGCUACACACGUCAUACAAUGGCUGGUACAAAGGGUUGCCAACCCGCGAGGGGGAGCCAAUCCCAUAAAGCCAGUCGUAGUCCGGAUCGCAGUCUGCAACUCGACUGCGUGAAGUCGGAAUCGCUAGUGAUCGUGGAUCAGCAUGUCACGGUGAAUACGUUCCCGGGUCUU